GGGCCUGUAGCUCAGUGGCAGAGCAUUGCUCUUAUAAAGCAAGGGUCGAAGGUUCGAUCCCUUCCAGGCCCA
rnacentral:tRNA from 1 species